rnacentral:rRNA from 1 species
UACGAAGGGGGCUAGCGUUGCUCGGAAUCACUGGGCGUAAAGCGCACGUAGGCGGCUUUUUAAGUCAGGGGUGAAAUCCUGGAGCUCAACUCCAGAACUGCCUUUGAUACUGGAGAGCUUGAGUCCGGAAGAGGUGAGUGGAACUCCGAGUGUAGAGGUGAAAUUCGUAGAUAUUCGGAAGAACACCAGUGGCGGAAGGCGGCUCACUGGUCCGGUACUGACGCUGAGGUGGCGAAAGCGUGGGGAGCAAACAGGG